AAGGUCUAGAGGGCCUGGGCUCCAAGCCCAAAGCCAUUGGGUCCUCAAUAUCAACUGGGUCUGCCAGCACCGAGAACACCAAGUUGUGCCGAGUUGGGACCUCCACUGCUGAGUCAAUCGAGUCUUGAGGAGGCAACUGUUGGAGAGCCACCUUGGCCAGCUUUUGCUAGCCCUUAGAGUCUAGAAGAGAGCUCGACGAACUCACAACUCUCGAAAGUGAGGUCGGGUGCUCCGAGUUCAUAGCUCAUUAUCCUUAAUAGAUGUCAAUUCUUGUUAAAAUUUUUAUUUUGAAGCAAUACCCA
rnacentral:lncRNA from 1 species